GGGUCGGGAGCCAUCAGGUCUGGGAGCCUCGCCCGGGGCCCCCGCAGCCGCUGGCUCGAGGAGGGAAACGGGCCGGGGCUUGUGUGAGAGCCGAAGAGAGCGUUUCUUAGGCAAACGCAGAGUAACAUACUCCCGGAGAGGCCACGGGUUUUUCAUGAGAAAGGUGACUUUAAUCCACAGGGACGUGCUUCAGUAGCUAACAGCAAUGAAUGAGAAUUCUUGUUCUGCUACACCUCUGUCAGCGUUUGCUGUUGCCAGUGUUCUGGAUUUUGGCUGUUAUAACCGGAAGGUGAGCAUUCCCUAGGAGGCCCAGGACUUCCCAGCAGCUUUCCUGAAGGUCUGCCUGUGGGGUCUCACUCUGAAUACAUCUCGGCUCCGGAUGCCUCUGCUUGUCUGCCUGCAACCCCAGCACCAAAGAUGAUCAUAGCUCUCAGCAGAAAGCAGACUUUCAGCAUGCUAUUCUCUGCAGAGCUGCGAGUGGGACAGUGUUCCUGGUGUGCAAUGCUACUCAUGAACGAAGCUCUCUCUCAACAUUCAAUUGUGAAAGUAAAGGAUCCCAAAGCUCUUUACUGGGGGCACAGUGGUUUCGCAGUGUCAGGUUUCUUUAAGCUGCUCAUGACAGUUAGCCACCUGGUGUGUGGAGAUAGAGCCCACACAACUAUACCUUUGUCAGGUACACUUAACUGCCUGACUUCAUGGAAAUGAGGCAUAAUGGAAUUCCUGCCUGAUCUUUUAUUACUGUUGCUUUUGUGUAAGUAUUUCAACUGGGGUAGGCAAUAUACCAACAGUAUAUUUUCCAUUUGAAUACUGAGUGAUGAAUUUAUAUCCCUUUUUACUCAGCGAGAGACAUUUCCUGGCCUAAUUUGUUCAGCAGGGAUGUUUCCCACGUGCUUUCCCUUGCUGAAGAGGACGAUCCCACUGUUGGGGGAAAUGGAUGUUAAUUAAUCAUAUUCUAUUGAGCUUUUUAUUGUGUAGCUCAAUUUUAUUUGAAAAGCAUAAUUGGGGUUGAGGUAGGGGAAGAGUGAACAUUAAACACAAAGCUUAAUAUUUAUGACAAUAUUGAAUACUUAGGCAAACUAUCUGAAGGCUUUUGUCUGGGACCAUUUUUAUGGCUGAUUAAAGCUGGCAGAACAACAUUCAGAUGAAAUGCAGUGGGAGGUCAUUAGGCAGUGGAGUGGCACGCGCAGCCGGCCGGCACCCAGCACUGGUGCAGAAGGCAGGCGUGCUAAUAACCGGAGUCCCUACUCACGCCUGG